AUAGUCAGAUGCUGCAGACCCGAAACGAAGUGAUCUAUCCAUGAGCAGGUUGAAGCUGGUGUAAGAGCCAGUGGAGGACCGAACCCAUUGACGUUGAAAAGUCUCGGGAUGACUUGUGGAUAGGGGUGAAAGGCCAAUCAAACUUCGUGAUAGCUGGUUCUCUCCGAAAUAUAUUUAGGUAUAGCCUUGUGUUGUAGCAUGUAGGGGUAGAGCACUGAAUGGGCUAGGGCUGCUUACCGCGGUACCAAACCCUAUCAAACUAUGAAUACUACAUGUGUAAUCACAGGAGUCAGGCGGUGGGUGAUAAAAUCCAUCGUCGAGAGGGGAACAACCCAGACUAACAGCUAAGGUCCCUAAGUCACAUCUAAGUGGAAAACGAUGUGGAGUUACUGUGACAACCAGGAGGUUGGCUUAGAAGCAGCCAUCCUUUAAAGAAAGCGUAACAGCUCACUGGUCUAGUGAUUCUGCGCGGAAAAUAUAACGGGGCUAAGAUGUGCACCGAAGCUUUAGAUUCGAAUUUAUUCGAGUGGUAGGAGAGCGUUCUAUUCAGCGUUGAAGGUAUACCGGUAAGGAGUGCUGGAGCGGAUAGAAGUGAGCAUGCAGGCAUGAGUAGCGAUAAUUAAGGUGAGAAUCCUUAACGCCGAAAACCCAAGGUUUCCUACGCGAUGCUCGUCAUCGUAGGGUUAGUCGGGUCCUAAGUCGAGACUGAAAAGUGUAGACGAUGGCAAAUUGGUUAAUAUUCCAAUACCAACAUAUAAGCGCGAUGUGGGGACGCAUAGAGUUAAUCGAGCUCACUGAUGGAAUAGUGGGUCGAAGGACGUAGGUUGUUAAGUAGGCAAAUCCGCUUAACAUUAGACCGAGAUCUUACAGGCUCUUGACACUCUUCGGAGGAGAUGGAGAAUCGAUGAUACUGUCGUGCCAAGAAAAGCCACUAAGUUUAUUAUAUGUUGCUCGUACCGUAAACCGACACAGGUGGGUGAGAUGAGUAUUCUAAGGCGCGUGGAAGAACCCUCUUUAAGGAACUCUGCAAAAUAGCACCGUAUCUUCGGUAUAAGGUGUGCCUACUUUGGUAUAUGGACUUGCUCCAAAAAGCUAGAGAGGUUGCAACAAAGAGUCCCUCCCGACUGUUUACCAAAAA
rnacentral:rRNA from 2 species